UAGUUGGGAUUAUCAUUUCGUAACGCCUCUAUAGUGUUAAUUCUUUUACAAAAUUUAGAUCUAUUCAAGAAAAAUGGAAAAAAAUUCUUCGGAAACGCCACCACUGUGUAAAGCUUGCUCAGUUUUUUUUGGAAACGCUGCUUUUGAAAAUAUGUGCUCAGUUUGUUAUCAUAAAGAAAAAGAGAGAGACUUUGCAACUUUAGGCUCAACUUCAAGAUUAAACCCUAUAAAAAACGAAGCCACUUUGGAAAGUUGCCGACUUGAAAACUCUAGCAAUAUGGAGACUAUUAGAAAAGAGGUUUUGCACAAAGAAGAUAAUUAUAAAGAAACUGCAACUUUGGAGCGCGAAAAGGUUAGUAAGGUUCAACAUAAUCCCAGAUCAUGCUGGAAGUGUAACUCAAAGAUUUCUGUUAUUCGUCAAUAUAUGAAUAAGUGUAAAUGUGGAUAUAUCUUUUGUGAUGCUCAUAGGGAGUCUGCUACACAUGAUUGCGAUUUUAACCGUGUUGCCUAUGAAAAGGAACGUUUAGCCAGAAAUUCACCUUUGAUUAAAACUGAAAAAAUUUCUAAAAUCUAAGUUAGCGAUAACGAUUC